CGCGCCUUCGUGCCCUCAAAAGCCGUUCACCGCAGUUCGGCACUAGGCACGGCGGGGGUCGUUCUUUCCUUUUUGCCUCUCUGGUGGUCAGGAUCUUCCUCAAACCCACGGCAACAAUGGGGGACGCUGAGCCCGUUUAUUCUACGGCAGGGGCCUGAUACUCAGUGAGCCCUUCCUGCGCACUGCCAGGAGCUGGCUGUGGGGACUGAGGGAGAAAAAGGAGAGGGGACAUCUGAAAAUGAUUCCACGCAAGACUCAGGGGACAGGCCACAGAGGGACACAUGCCUCCAGGAGAGGUGGUGGUGACUGGCUAUCCCGGCUCACAGGCCCUCCGGCGCUGCUCCGUUCACACAGCACCAGCCUGGUCUUCUCAGGAAGCAGCCCCGUCCUGUCUUUCCCCAGGUUUUACAGCCUUCAGAGGCUCCCCUCGCACACGGGAGGGUGAAAUCCAAGCUGGUUUCCACCCCAAGGCCCGGUGCUGCUGCUGCCUCCGAGCUUACCUCCCGAGACCCUGCCUCCCUCUCCAGACUCUGGCCCCGGCCUCCUCCUGGCCCGGAGCUUGGCAAGCUCGCCCCUUCCUCAGGCCUCCCGCAUGUGCCCCCUUGGCAUAGAAGACCCUUCCCUGGUGCCCGUCCCACAUGCUGCCCCGUGGCGGGGGCUGCAGUGCCUUCCCUGCUCACCCAUCGGGGUCCGGGCUCCUCAUUCUCCACCCACUUGGCUCCUCCAGUGCCCACUGAGAGUUUUCACCGCCGCAUAGCCUGCAUCUGCCUGCCUUCCCCACGGGACCACGUGCUGCCUGCUCACCACUGUGCCCCCAGCCCGAGCAUGGGCCUGGCCCAACACAGACGUUCUGAAUGAACCAUGAUUUGGCCCGUCUGCUCUGGGUGUGACUCCAGGUGGAGAAUAAAGGGGGGGUUGGUAUGAA